UUUGAUGUUCUAACGUGGGCCCCUUACCGGGGUUGCGGACAGUGUCUGGUGGGUAGUUUGACUGGGGCGGUCUCCUCCUAAAGAGUAACGGAGGAGCACGAAGGUUGGCUAAUCCUGGUCGGACAUCAGGAGGUUAGUGCAAUGGCAUAAGCCAGCUUGACUGCGAGCGUGACGGCGCGAGCAGGUGCGAAAGCAGGUCAUAGUGAUCCGGUGGUUCUGAAUGGAAGGGCCAUCGCUCAACGGAUAAAAGGUACUCCGGGGAUAACAGGCUGAUACCGCCCAAGAGUUCAUAUCGACGGCGGUGUUUGGCACCUCGAUGUCGGCUCAUCACAUCCUGGGGCUGAAGUAGGUCCCAAGGGUAUGGCUGUUCGCCAUUUAAAGUGGUACGCGAGCUGGGUUUAGAACGUCGUGAGACAGUUCGGUCCCUAUCUGCCGUGGGCGCUGGAGAACUGAGGGGGGCUGCUCCUAGUACGAGAGGACCGGAGUGGACGCAUCACUGGUGUUCGGGUUGUCAUGCCAAUGGCACUGCCCGGUAGCUAAAUGCGGAAGAGAUAAGUGCUGAAAGCAUCUAAGCACGAAACUUGCCCCGAGAUGAGUUCUCCCUGACUCCUUGAGAGUCCUGAAGGAACGUUGAAGACGACGACGUUGAUAGGCCGGGUGUGUAAGCGCAGCGAUGCGUUGAGCUAACCGGUACUAAUGAACCGUGAGGCUUAACCUU
rnacentral:rRNA from 1 species